UCCUCACCAAAGCUGCGUUUCUUUGCUUCCACACAGACAGAAUGAGCAAUCAUUUCGUCCUUUUACCACUUGCAAAUGAGAAAUUCGGAGUAAUCUUCACAUAACCACAACUCACCUUGCAACCACUUUCACGAGUUGGGCACAAGCUCUGAGUCACUGCCUGCGAGGGCCUGACGUGACACGUCUGCACCUGGCAUCAGAAAUUUCAGAACGUCUUGACUGGCCAAAAAGCUGCUUCACGGUGGCUUUUUUGAAAGGGAGAGAUAGCGUUUCUAUGGGAGCCGGUGCGAAGAUUGUAUGCAAAGUCUGACUUUGCGAUACUUGAGUGCAAUACGCAGCGUUUCUUCUACGAAGGAAUAAUUCGAUUCCGAUUACUCGGGUGAGGA
rnacentral:RNase_P_RNA from 2 species